CGCUAAUCUUAGCUUGUGAGAGCUCUUGUAAAGAAGCAGUGGAUAUUCUCCUGAAGACUAAGGCAGAUGAUUCUGCAGUAGACCUUUAUGGCCAUGAUGCUUACCACUACGCCAGAUUAAGUCAGAAACAAGACUUGAUCACACUUGUACAACAUGCCUUGGAAAAAAACACUAAAGCUAAAGAAACUGCCACUGUUUCACAGAAGAUCCACCAGGCUAAAUCCCCAUCAGCAGGGAUUGGCUGGACCAAAGCAGGAUCGGUAAAGACUGAGAAACCUUUGUCAGAGCCACUAACAGUGAGUUUCUUUAUGGGGUGACAUUUAAAUUAAGGCUAUGAGGCAGUCAUUUUCCUCUCCUGUAGCUGAUUGUGGUCCUGUGAUCAGUUGUGAAUGUCAUCAGUAAAGGGUUGUGUCUGAAUUACAG
rnacentral:lncRNA from 1 species